UACUUUCCAGGAAAGGGCAGAAAUCAUCUUAUUAAGGGACACAUGCAUACACACAGUGCCAGUUACAAUAAUGUUAUGUAAGUGUACUCACCUUUUUCGUGUACGUCGAUUUAGUGCUUCGUGGACACAGAUGAUUUUGGAUCUGAAACAAAAAAUAUCGCCGAGUUACAGAAAAUCGUAAAAGUAUUGAAGACUGAAAAUAUUUCAUAUUUUUCCAUAACCAUUCGUUCUUCAGGAAACUAUGAAUGGAUUAUCAAUGAUGCAUGUUCCACGUUUAUGGAUGUCUCCAAGAGUGGUUCGUCUGGCCAAAUUCAAGAUCGCGUAUAAUAUGAAGCAGUGGAGAAGCAAAUGAACCGGCGAGCAAGAGAUUAUUUUCCAUUUCCGUCUUUCCCCGAAAGCCAUACUACAGCAGCAGUAUCGCGCAGGCGAGGAAAACAACCCGUCUGGGACACUGCAGCAUGAGAGGCGGACAAUGUAUCGUCAUACGAAUAUGAAAUAGAACCGUGUAUAUCCGCCGUCCAGACAAACAAUGCUUCCGGUCUUUUCCCGUUGUAGUAUAAUGAUGGAAAUCGAGAACCGCCCAUUUCUUCCAAAAUCGUUUCUGGCCGUGGUUCUUGCCGAAGAAAAAACUCAUCGACAAAACAGCAACAUAUUAUAUACUUCACUUUACUGUUUUACAAUACGAUAAAUUAUAAAGAUAUUCCUAACUACCUAUAUUAUAAAAGUACCUAUAUAAUAUUAAAAAAAAAAUGCAGCUAUUAAUUAUA